GGGGGCGUAAUGAGAUAAUAGUAGGGUCUAUGCAGUCGACGGACUGUACUGAACCUAGUGAUUUACAGGUUAGUGGCGGACGGGUGAGUAACGCGUGGAAAACCUGCCGUAUACUGGGGGAUAACACUUAGAAAUAGGUGCUAAUACCGCAUAAGCGCACAGGCCCGCAUGGGACAGUGUGAAAAACUCCGGUGGUAUACGAUGGUUCCGCGUCUGAUUAGCUUGUUGGCGGGGUAACGGCCCACCAAGGCGACGAUGCGUAGCCGACCUGAGAGGGUGAACGGCCACACUGGGACUGAGACACGGCCCAGACUCCUACGGGAGGCAGCAGUAGGGAAUCUUCGGCAAUGGGCGAAAGCCUGACCGAGCAACGCCGCGUGAAUGAAGAAGGCCUUCGGGUUGUAAAAUUCUGUUAUAAGGGAAGAAAGGUGAUAGGAGGAAAUGACUAUCAAUUGACGGUACCUUAUGAGAAAGCCACGGCUAACUACGUGCCAGCAGCCGCGGUAAUACGUAGGUGGCAAGCGUUAUCCGGAAUUAUUGGGCGUAAAGAGCGCGCAGGUGGUUAAUUAAGUCUGAUGUGAAAGCCCACGGCUUAACCGUGGAGGGUCAUUGGAAACUGGUUGACUUGAGUGCAGAAGAGGGAAGUGGAAUUCCAUGUGUAGCGGUGAAAUGCGUAGAGAUAUGGAGGAACACCAGUGGC
rnacentral:rRNA from 1 species